AUGGAGCAGCCAUCGCCUGCAGGAGGAAUACAAGGAGAAAGUCAGCUGAAAUGGAAUUGCAAGUGUCCUUGCUCCAAAUACAAGGUGAGAAUAUUCAGUCCCCGUCAGUUGCUCCCUGAUGCUCACACAAAGGGUCUAGGACCUGGAAUCCUCUGUAAUAACAGAAGGAAUGACUGUGCCGACCCAGUCCUCUGGUAAGAAGAUUCUGCAAUGGGUGAGUGAUGCCAGGCCCAGCCCAGGUGCAGACCUCAGACUUCACUCAAACAUGUGUCAUCUGCCCCUUGAUUUCUCAAUUUAGCCCACAGCCUGAGGAGUGGGUGUGGAGCGGAAGAAGGGAAGAGAAACAGAGGAAAUUACUUAUAAAAAGAAGUUUCAAAUUGAGUCAUACACAUGAGUUAUAACUCAGAGAGAGGCUCUGAGGUAGGAGAGGAAAAGACAGAGACAGCCGUUUUGAGAGGGUUCCUUCUCGUGGGACAAAGAUGUUCAGAUGAGUUGACUGGUAGUUCUGCUCUGGAGACGGAAAGACAGACAGGCAGAGACAGAGGAGUCUGUGCUUUGGGAGGAGAGAGUG
rnacentral:lncRNA from 1 species